UCUCCGUAGGUGAACCUGCGGAAGGAUCAUUAAUGAAUUUUUGAAAUGGGGUUGUAGCUGGCUUUUAAUCGAGCAUGUGCACGCCCUAUUCAUCCAUUUCUAUAUACACCUGUGCACCUUUUGUAGGUCGGUCGUUACGGGAAAAGCCUUUCGGUUUUUUCUUACACUUCCUUCCUAUGUUUUCAUUAUAAACUCUACGAAUGUCUAUGAAUGUCUUUGCGUAAAUAAACGCAUCAUAAUAUAACUUUCAGCAACGGAUCUCUUGGCUCUCGCAUCGAUGAAGAACGCAGC
rnacentral:misc_RNA from 1 species